rnacentral:piRNA from 1 species
UGAGUAUGUUUAGCGUUGUAGUCGC